UACGUAGGGUGCGAGCGUUAAUCGGAAUUACUGGGCGUAAAGCGUGCGCAGGCGGUUUUAUAAGUCAGAUGUGAAAGCCCCGGGCUCAACCUGGGAAUGGCAUUUGGGACUGUAAGGCUGGAGUAUGGCAGAGGGGACUAGAAUUCCUGGUGUAGCAGUGAAAUGCGUAGAUAUCAGGAGGAAUACCGAUGGCGAAGGCAGGUCCCUGGGCCAAUACUGACGCUCAUGCACGAAAGCGUGGGGAGCAAACAGG
rnacentral:rRNA from 1 species